UACAAAGCAAGCGCUUAUGCAAAAAAUAGUUACUCUAACUUGUAAAAUUUAAAGGAUAGGUGCACAAAUUAAUCCUAAUCCUAAGUUAUCCCACACUGAGAAUUGAUCAGGUAGUUGAAGAAUUGUACAAAGAACUACAGAUAGAGGUACAUACAUAGAGUUGCAUGGGUUGCAUGGCAAUUUUUUAUGCACAUACUGAUUGUUAGUACAUCAUUUCAACAAUAUGCAUAUGUCUCGCUCAGACUAUAUUUUAUUUUUAAAAGCAUCCAAUGCAUGGAGAAUUCCAUUAGAUGUAAGUUCUUUUAAAACAGAAAAUCAACACUUUAAUUGAGUAUGAAACAUGAUGUUAUUUAACACAAUGUGUAAAAUGCAAAUGCAUCUAUAUAUUCUGCUUUAUGUAAGGUUUUUCUGAAGUUUUUUGCUUACGCUAAAUUGCAUGAUAAAACAAGUAAAUUUUUAUGGAUCAACUUUUAGGAAAGUGUAAUAAUUAGCUAGCAACUGGAGGCAUCAUGAUAUGAACGAGUGUUGAGUUGAAGGUUUUGAGGCAGAUUUUGUGAGUUGAAGGUUGUAAGGAAGAUAAACUCAUACAAGGAGUUGAGGUAGGAUGGUUAUAUGAAUUCGUGGACUUCCAACAAAGGAUUUGCACCUCAGAGACAGAAUAAUUUUACAACGUGUUUUUCUACAAGGCCAACACGUCCAGUUAUUCAUAUACCCACUGACAGAAGUGAAAAAGUUCGGGUUGCCGCAUGAUGGCACAUGAUACUAUUACAUAGGACAAAGAAAUUAACAUGAUUUCCACCAUCGAGUCUGCUGACUCGAUGAAAAAGUCUUAUGCUCCAAGUGGACCAGUUGUAACGGCGAUAGCUUAGUUGACUUACCUAAGUACCACAUUAUUGAUUUAUUGACUAUCAACUGGUUUAAAAUUGAAGCAUACGAAACAUGAAGCUGUCGGAGUGUAAAAACUAUUUCUUUUACUGCAUAAACGAACAAAUUGAACUUUUGAAGCCGUACCUGCUGUCACUGCUAAUCACCUUAUGGUUCAUCCUGGUAUGGAAGUUGUCUCCAAUGGCAUUUGGCGUGAUUGGAAUAACGUUACUUAAUUUUAUACUGAUAUGUGGUUUACUAAUUACAAAGUUCUUGGAGAAUGUAAGUUUUGCAUUUUAACAUUCGAUCAGUUUUUGUAGAUUUAUGUUUGAUAAAUUGUUUUUAUUA